GCCUGUUUUACUACCUCCAAUGAGAACUUCUUAAAACACUCAUCUGGAACUUCUUUUUUGAAAGCAUGUUGAUUGAACAAUUGCAUAGCUUCAUGAUCAGGUAGCGUAGGCACUUCGUAUAUUGCAGCAUCCUUCUCUAUCAAUUGUCUGUUUCUAGUUGUUACAAUGCUACUGCAAAGCUCUCACUUUGGUUUCGAACAUGUGAUGGAUCCACAUCAUAGAAGAUCGGUAUGAUUGUUUGUCUAUUUUCUUCCUCCUUGCAUUCCAUGAUCUUCACUAGUUCAUUCAUGCACCACCUCGAUGUAGCAUAGUUCCUUCAGAAAACGAUGAGUGCAACUUGAGACUCUUCGAUAGCUUUCAAGAGUUCUUGUGAGAUGGAAUCGCCUUGCUCUAGCCUUUUAUCAUCUUGAAAGGUGAAUAUUCCCCUGUUUUUCAAACCUUCGUACAAGUGACCCGUAAAUGUUCUCCGAGUGUCGACAACUCUAAAACUUAAAAAGAUAUCAUACUUUCAUAGCGGACGGUAUUGUGAAUCACUCGCAAAAGAAGAAGAAGAAGAUGCCAUGGAUGUCUGAGAAGAAAAUA